UCUCAKGGCAGAAGGUUAAAAGCUCCGGCRGUGAAGGAUGAGCCCGCGGCCUAUCAGCUAGUUGGUGGGGUAAUGGCCUACCAAGGCGACGACGGGUAGCCGGCCUGAGAGGGCGACCGGCCACACUGGGACUGAGACACGGCCCAGACUCCUACGGGAGGCAGCAGUGGGGAAUAUUGCACAAUGGGCGAAAGCCUGAUGCAGCGACGCCGCGUGAGGGAUGACGGCCUUCGGGUUGUAAACCUCUUUCAGCAGGGAAGAAGCGAAAGUGACGGUACCUGCAGAAGAAGCGCCGGCUAACUACGUGCCAGCAGCCGCGGUAAUACGUAGGGCGCAAGCGUUGUCCGGAAUUAUUGGGCGUAAAGAGCUCGUAGGCGGCUUGUUGCGUCGGUUGUGAAAGCCCGGGGCUUAACCCCGGGUCUGCAGUCGAUACGGGCAGGCUAGAGUGUGGUAGGGGAGAUCGGAAUUCCUGGUGUAGCGGUGAAAUGCGCAGAUAUCAGGAGGAACACCGGUGGCGAAGGCGGAUCUCUGGGCCAUUACUGACGCUGAGGAGCGAAAGCGUGGGGAGCGAACAGGAUUAGAUACCCUGGUAGUCCACGCCGUAAACGUUGGGAACUAGGUGUUGGCGACAUUCCACGUCGUCGGUGCCGCAGCUAACGCAUUAAGUUCCCCGCCU
rnacentral:rRNA from 1 species